rnacentral:rRNA from 1 species
CGCUGUCACUCCUACGGGAGGCAGCAGUGGGGAAUAUUGCACAAUGGGGGAAACCCUGAUGCAGCCAUGCCGCGUGUGUGAAGAAGGCCUUCGGGUUGUAAAGCACUUUCAGUAGGGAGGAAGGUAGUGUAGUUAACACCUGCAUUAUUUGACGUUACCUACAGAAGAAGCACCGGCUAACUCCGUGCCAGCAGCCGCGGUAAUACGGAGGGUGCGAGCGUUAAUCGGAAUUACUGGGCGUAAAGCGCAUGCAGGCGGCCUGUUAAGUCAGAUGUGAAAGCCCGGGGCUUAACCUCGGAAUUGCAUUUGAAACUGGCAGGCUAGAGUCUUGUAGAGGGGGUAGAAUUUCAGGUGUAGCGGUGAAAUGCGUAGAGAUCUGAAGGAAUACCGGUGGCGAAGGCGGCCCCCUGGACAGAUACUGACACUCAGAUGCGAAAGCGUGGGGAGCAAACAGGAUUAGAUACCCUGGUAG